rnacentral:rRNA from 1 species
AACGAACGCUGGCGGCAUGCCUAACACAUGCAAGUCGAACGAUGCCUUCGGGCAUAGUGGCGCACGGGUGCGUAACGCGUGGGAAUCUGCCCUUGGGUUCGGAAUAACUCAGAGAAAUUUGAGCUAAUACCGGAUGAUGACGUAAGUCCAAAGAUUUAUCGCCCAAGGAUGAGCCCGCGUAAGAUUAGCUAGUUGGUGGGGUAAAGGCCUACCAAGGCGACGAUCUUUAGCUGGUCUGAGAGGAUGAUCAGCCACACUGGGACUGAGACACGGCCCAGACUCCUACGGGAGGCAGCAGUGGGGAAUAUUGGACAAUGGGCGAAAGCCUGAUCCAGCAAUGCCGCGUGAGUGAUGAAGGCCUUAGGGUUGUAAAGCUCUUUUACCAGGGAUGAUAAUGACAGUACCUGGAGAAUAAGCUCCGGCUAACUCCGUGCCAGCAGCCGCCGUAACAC